AAGCGUUGUCCGGAUUUACUGGGCGUAAAGAGCGCGCAGGCGGUCGAUCAAGUCGAGUGUGAAAGCCCCCGGCUCAACUGGGGAGGGUCAUUCGAUACUGAUCGACUCGAAGGCAGGAGAGGGUAGUGGAAUUCCCGGUGUAGUGGUGAAAUGCGUAGAUAUCGGGAGGAACACCAGUGGCGAAGGCGACUACCUGGCCUGUUCUUGACGCUGAGGCGCGAAAGCUAGGGGAGCAAACGGG
rnacentral:rRNA from 1 species